CAAAAGAGUAUCAAAACGAAGCAAAACAGAAAAUACUAGAUCAAAGUUGAUAAACAGUCUGUGAGAUAUGCAUCAGAGAGAUUCCCAUCUAGACAUUAGUCAUCAUUCUCAUCUCCUAACAAGGAGAUUCUGAUGUCCCUGUCUUUUCAUCAUCACUUGCAU
rnacentral:sRNA from 1 species